rfam:Hymenobacter sp. CRA2 NODE_5_length_307680_cov_114.723_ID_453, whole genome shotgun sequence.
UGACCCUGUAGGCCAGCCAACAGGUAAAAAAACGGGGCGGGUCCGAAAAGCCUUACGAGUAGGUAAACC